UACGGGGGGGGCAAGCGUUGUUCGGAAUUACUGGGCGUAAAGGGCUCGUAGGCGGCCAACUAAGUCGGAUGUGAAAUCCCCAGGCUCAACCUGGGAACUGCAUCCGAUACUGGAUGGCUUGAAUUCGGGAGAGGGAUGCAGAAUUCCAGGUGUAGCGGUGAAAUGCGUAGAUAUCUGGAGGAAUACCGGUGGCGAAGGCGGGUCUCUGGGCCGAUACUGACGCUGAGGAGCGAAAGCGUGGGGAGCGAACAGG
rnacentral:rRNA from 2 species